UCCAUUCUUCCCUGGUUGUAAAUUUCGAAAUUUCAACCUUCAUUUACCACUCUUAAUUAGAGAAGAAAAGAAGAGAGAAAAGAAAGGUCAAGCGCAUCAAGUGGAAAUCCCAUCUUCUCUCUCUUUUGUUUCACUAAUUUUCGAGUUCUUGUGUUCUUGUUUUUCUUGCUUUGUUCUUCGUGUUCUUCGUGUUCUUAAGAUAGGAUGAAUCGCAAAGUUGGAGGAGCACUUAGGAGCAUCGGAGGACACUCUCAUUCCGCAGCAUCCAGAGCCGGUCAUCAUCUCAAGCACCUUCACGUGUCGGUUCCGGGAUGGACAUCGAUUCGCUAUCAUCUUCCGAGCAUCACACCUCGUCAUCCUCUUCCCAAUGGGAAGAGAGGUGUCCAUCAGCAUGCAUCAGCAGGCUGUCCAGAAUUGUUUACACUGGAGCUGACCCAGCACCAUCGGGUCCAGCUCAUUUUUAUUAUACUUAAUGAUCCAGGUGCGUCACAUGAGCCACAUCAGCCAUGGUCCACCCACUCAGGAUGGGAGGACCAAGCCACGUACGAGCAAGGAGAGUCGUCUACAUCCACAGGAUGGGGAACAUUCCUCACAUAGGAGCCAGAUAAGACCAGGCAAAAUUUUCAGAGGGUUCGUGCAUCAUUUUCUGUGCGCGGAAAUGCGGACCACACCACUGGUGGACCAUACCCGUUCCAUGCACCACCAGUAGAUGAAUACAUGCGUCCUCCUAAACAACACUUUGGGGCUCCUGUUAACGAUUAUCCUCCUAUAUCUUUGCAUCUCACUAACCUUCAACAGGUGCAGCAGGCGAUGAACGACACCUUGCGCCGACAUGAGCAGUGGCAGCACCAGGCGGAUCAGCAAUUCAGGCAGCUACAUGAGGGACAGGAGCACAUGCAGACCGGAUUAGAGUAUUUGAUAGAGCAGAUGGGGUUCCAACCACCACCCCCACCACAUUACUGAGCCUCGGUAAGAUUCAGCUUGAGGGAGAGCCCCCGCGAGGUAAGCACUCUUUUACCACUAUAAAUAUUCUAUCUUCAGUAUUUAUUUUAGCAUUUACUUUCCAGCAUUUAAUUUUUGUCAAAUUAGAAUAAUUAGAAUUAGUAUUUAAUUUUGCUAUGUAUUGAAAAAAAACUCAGUAAUUACUUAGUACUAUAAUUUAAAAUUCUCUUUUAAAUUAUAUGAAGUUUAUCUACCUGAUAAUUUAUUCUGAGAACUAAAUUCUGUGGGUAGCCAAAAACUUGUGAUCCAGUCUAAGUAAUUGGCAGAUAUGAUAUAAAAAGGUUGAGCUAGUAUACAUUUUAUUGUAAGUGAUAGCUAAGCUCCAGACAUUUUGCAAGAAUUAAAUUAAUCAAUCUAUAAUUCAUCUUGCUAAUAAGAUUUGAGUAGACUAUUUUGUUAUACAUUCAUGAUUGAAUCCACAGGCAUAAAAAUAAUUUUUGCUCUAUGCAGCAAAUUCUCCCUUCGAAGUCUAAAAGAGAAAGUGGGCUAUAAGAUUAAAAGAUGACAUACCAGAGAAAUAUGAGCCUAAAAGAUGUCAUGCCAAAAAGGUAUGUGCCAAAUUCAAAACAAAGAGAGUAAAAUAAUAGGUGCAAAGACACCCGCCUGAGAGAAAAAAAUAGGGUACAAAAGUAUCCGCUGGUGAGAUAGCCCACAUAUCUCACAAGGCAGAAAAGAGAAAAUAUUGCAUAAGAAUUUGAAAAUAUAAAUUUAAAUCACUAGAACAUUCAAUCAUGAUGUAUAGCCUAGUAGUCCACUGCAAUCUUAUUAGUAGACUCUCAUUGUUUUAAAAUUAAUAAGACCUCUGGAGUGCUGCAGGAACAAAGAAUAAAAUAUAUGCGAUGCUCGCUUGCUUAUUCUAUCUUUCAAUUAUCUAAGAUUUGAUUAAAGUUGAAGAGGUCCCACGUUGAAAGGAAUAAGAAUAAGUUUGAAAGAUAGAUGGAUGAAUUAUAAUCCAAAGAUGAAUUUUCAAAUUCAGCACUCAACUAUUUAGAAUUAAACACAAGGAACCAUAGAAAUAUUAUUUCAAGUCAACUUUGCUAAGGGACUAGCAAAGACUUAGUUUGGGGGAAUUGUUGACGGUUAAUAAUGUCAAAUUUUAUUAGAACUUUAAACUCAAAGGAAAACAUAAAAAAACAUUAGUCUAGGGUUUAAACUGACAAUUUCCACGAGUUUUGCAUAUUUUAUGAUUUUCAGGGAUUAUUUUAUAAAGUGCUGAAAAGAGGGAUUAAGGUGCUAAUUCGCCACAAAAGUUAUCCACAAUGGAAGGGCGACACCAGAGGAUUCAGGAAGACUCCAGAAGACACCAGGCACAACAGGGGAGCGAACGGCUGCCAGGUGGGGAGCGCCGGCUGACCCCCUGCAGUUAGGGUUCGCCUCCCUUCCUGAAGCUUCUUCCACCGCCUUUGAGGAGCCAUCUCGGCCGCUUGUUAAGUAGGUUUGAUCCAACGGCGCGUGUGCACUCCACCAGGCUAUAAAUAGAGGGGCAGACCCCCCCUCCUAGAGGGCCCCCAGAGAUUCAAUUCAUUCCUUGUGCUUCAUUUGUCAAGAGUAGUCAGAAGUUAGGGUUUCUAGAGAUUAGAAGUAGAGCUCUAGUUCUUCAAGUUCUUAGUAUAGGCGUCUAGCGAGGUUCAAGUAGAGAUCGGGCGCUCCGCUCUCAGGAUUCCAAAUCUGUCUUCUAGAAAUUAGCAAUAUUAUCUUGUAUUUUAUUAUGACUUUGCUCUACUUCAAUAUAUUGCUAUUUAUUCA